ensembl:lncRNA
AAAUACUGCUUUCUUAAUUAUGAUUUUUGAGUAAAUGUUUUUUUUCCCCGAGCUCCGCAUGUGGACGUCAUGACGUUUUCUCUCCAACCUGAACGACGUUGACAGAAAAUUCUGUUCAAUAUGGCUGCCCUUCUCGAGCGACUGGAGAACACAUUUGGAGAAACUUGCUGAAGACCGAAGACAAAAAGACAGAAGAAAAAAAAAAUUCAGACUGCAAUUAAUUUCAGGUGGAGACAGUAAACACAGGAGGCGCCUGAUAUCAACGUGAAACGCACUGCAGUACUUCGUGCCCUUCCUGUAUACCUGUGGGAGGAGGACCCAGAAUUCUUUUAGACAUGUAAUGCGGACGCAUUGGAUGAGUCGACCCUCAUUGACCCUCCAGUUGCCCUUCUCACUGUGGUUACCGACAGCGCUUCCCAGUCCAGUCCAUUUUACUUCCUCAAGCAUGGCUGUUGUGGUGAAAGGCGACUAGGUGAUGCGUGAUAUUCCCAGAUUUGCAGAUGCAUUUGCUUUAUUGUUUGGCUUGAUCUAUGCUCUGCAUUUAGACUACCCCAGGAAGCUGGUUCACACAUUUGCCUUAGUCCAAAAUAUCUUCAUGGGGCUUGAUGACGGCAAACCCCUGAAACCCCUGGCUACAUGCUCUUAAGGAAUAUAAGGCAAUGUUUGUUAGGACACGCACUCUGUUACUGAGCACUUUGUUUGAAGCACUUUAAGCACUUUAAGUUUACUACAGGCUUUGGGUGGAUUUAACUCCAUCAGUUUACCUAAUUUUCCUAUACUUGACUGCCUUAUCUGGUUAUUUGGAAGCCGAUCGUCUUUGUACCCAUUUUAAAAAAUUGUUUUUCAUUUCUAUUUUUAAAAAAAGUGAUUAGUAUUUGACUUUUUGUUUUGCAUUUUUGUGUAUUUUGAGAAAGAUGCAAUUAGGACUGAUGUCGUCAUUUUAUAAAAAGAUAAAUGUUCUACACAGAAUUUAUAAUGCUCCCUUUAUGGUGCCGAUGUCCAUGUUAGUGGUUUUAUAAAAACAUUUGUGAUGUUUUUAAAUUUUCAUGAAAAAAUGUUAAAUAAACAAAAUGUAAAGUAA